GACGAACGCUGGCGGCGUGCUUAACACAUGCAAGUCGAGCGGUAAGGCCCUUCGGGGUACCCGAGCGGCGAACGGGUGAGUAACACGUGAGUAAUCUGCCCAUCACUUCGGGAUAACUCCGGGAAACCGGUGCUAAUACCGAAUAUGACCACUUCAGGCAUCUGAUGGUGGUGGAAAGUUCCGGCGGUGAUGGAUGAGCUCGCGGCCUAUCAGCUUGUUGGUGGGGUAGUGGCCUACCAAGGCUUCGACGGGUAGCCGGCCUGAGAGGGUGACCGGCCACACUGGGACUGAGACACGGCCCAGACUCCUACGGGAGGCAGCAGUGGGGAAUAUUGGACAAUGGGCGAAAGCCUGAUCCAGCAACGCCGCGUGAGGGAUGACGGCCUUCGGGUUGUAAACCUCUUUCAGCAGGGACGAAGCGCAAGUGACGGUACCUGCAGAAGAAGCACCGGCCAACUACGUG
rnacentral:rRNA from 1 species